UUAUAGUCAUCAUCUCUUUAUCUCUGUUUUGUUUUUGUCAAGAGACUUAUCAACCUGUUUUGUUACUUCUGCUGCCUCUAUUUCAUAAAAUUCAGCUGGCAGGUUUAUUUCUUCCACCUGAUUUCUCCCUUGAUUUGCCUUGAGUGGGUUGGGGAUGUUGGGUUCCACCCUGCUUCCUUGUUUUCUCGUUGCUGUUCAUUCAUUUUCUGCUUUGAGGUUUAUAAAUUGCUUAUGUAGUAAGACUUAUUACUAGUAAACUCUACUACUAUCAUCAAGGCCUUUUUUAGGAAAUGACUACUUUUCAGAGAUAAAGCCUAGGCAUAACUGAAUUUGGCUUUUCAGAUUGUGGCUGCCUACAUGGCCUAGCAUCCAGUUCUUUGGUACUGGACCAUAGUAUUAGGUAUGACUCCCAGACAGUCUAGGUAUUGGCAUACAAGGAAGAUCAAUUGAUCACAACUAUGUUACCUUUGCUAAAAUAGUACAAUCAGUAAUAAAAAUGGUAUCAAGUACAGACUAGAAAAUGACAAACUGUUGUAACAAUUUGUCAACUUUAACCACAGGUAUAAGAUUUAUAGUUAUGUAACAAGAACUAAAAUAAAUCAGGCAAUUAUGUAUGGUAAAUGUCCACUCAGUAGAGCAAUUUUACCCUAAGGGGAGAAAUUUUAAAAGGGAGAAGAAAAAACUAGAGAAAUGAAAGAAAAAAGUGAUUAGAAACAAGGCUGAAGGACAAAAGAGAUUACUCAGGUCUUGGGAUGUUGUUGAAGAGAACAGGAAGGAAAGAAAGAAGAUAAAAACAAAAACAAGAAAACUAAAAAUAAUGUUCAUGCUCAUGAAAUGACAAAGCAAACCAUCAAAAAGCCCCAAACAAACUGAGAGACAGAGACAAAUGCCAGAGUGUUGACUGUCAGCUACUCAGCUUCUCCAGAUUGCCAACAGUUUGGAAAACACCAACCCAGAGAGAAUUCAAAGGGAGUGCAUGGAACGUGGAAACCUUGAGGGAACUGACGGUGGAGAAGAAGUAAGAUUCAUUGCCACAGAAGAAACAGCUCACCACUGCAGAUCUCAGAUCAUGAGGUGUGUCUAGCUCAGUGGUGUUUGGCUGGUGCACAGAAAGCAAAAGCAACUUUGCUCCUUAUUGGGACUGACCUUAACUAGGAGACUCAUACAGUCGGAGGCAGCAGUUAGAACAGGAGACAUUAUUUCCUGAGCCUUCCUUCCCAGAAUCAGCGGUUGGGCCAGGGAAGUGGAGAAGUAACUGAAGAGUGACUCCAAGCAGGACACGAGAACCAAAUCUCAGUCAUCUCAGAUGCAGAAAGAAAAGUCAUUCCAGAAAGAUGAGAAUAUUUGCAAUCUUUAUAUUCACAUUCUGCUAUCACUUGCUGCAUGCAUUUACUAUCACAGUUCCCAAGGACCUGUAUGUCAUAGAAUAUGGCAGCAAUGUGACAAUUGAAUGCAACUUCCCAGUACAAAAACAAUUGGACCUGCUUUCAUUAGUCGUCUACUGGGAAAAAGAUGAUAAGCAAAUCAUUCAGUUUGUGCAUGGAACGGAAGACCCCAAGGCUCAGCACAGUAGCUUCAGGCAUAGGGCCUGGCUGCUCAAAGACCAGCUCUUCAAGGGAAAUGCUGCACUUCUGAUCACAGAUGUCAAAUUACAAGAUGCAGGGGUUUACUGCUGCAUGAUCGGUUAUGGUGGUGCGGACUAUAAGCGGAUUACUUUGAAAGUCAAUGCCCCAUAUCGCAAAAUCAACCAGAGAAUUUCCGUGGAUCCAGUCACCUCUGAAUACGAACUAACGUGUCAGGCUGAGGGUUACCCUGAGGCUGAAGUCAUCUGGGAAAGCAGUGACCAGCAAAUCCUCAGUGGCAACACUGUCGUCACCAAGUCUCAGAGGGAGGAGAAAUUUUUCAAUGUGACCAGCAUGCUGAGAAUCAACGCAACAGCUAAUAAGAUUUUCUACUGUACUUUUCGGAGAUUAGGUUCUGGGGGAAACUAUACAGCUGAGUUGAUCAUCCCAGAAUCGCCUACUGUAUUUCCAACAAAUAAGAGGAAUCAUUUUGUGAUGAUGGCAACCAUCCCGUUGUUCUUUGUUGUGGCACUUGUCCUCCUCUACCUAAGAAAAGAUGUGAAUGCGAUAGAUGUGGAAAAAUGCAGCAUCCGAGAUACAAACUCAGAGAAACAAAAUGGUAAGAAUAUCAGAAGGAAAAAAUAAAAGACUAUCAGAAGGGACUGGGAAGAUGAAGGAAGGAAACAAAAAGUUAAAGCAACAGCAAAGAAAUCUAUCCGUCGUGGUCUCCCCUUGCUUUAGAGGCCAGUUAUGAGAACUGCUGGCUCGCCUUUGCCUUGAAACUGAAAACUCCUUCCACAGUCUGAGAAGAUUCCGCGAUGGCCCUUUAGGAUCCACAGUUUGAGGAGACGUAACCAGCACUGAAACUUGUGAUUUUCAAGCAGGGAUUCUCAUCCUGUGGUUUGGAAGUUCAGGAAAGAAAAGGCACAUGGCAUGCAAGGGAUGUUAAAGGCCCAAGCAUUGAAAAUGGGACCUGGGGAAAGAAGAGGAGGAGAAAGACUAAGAAAGAUGGAAUACAAGGGGAUCCUGGAAGGAAACCUUGGUACUUUGAUAACUGACAGAGUGUAAUGUAUGAAAGAGGCAAAAGACCUUAUGAGUGAGGAGCAGGUUGAGAAUCCCUGAUUAAUGGUCCGCCCUGUGGAAGUGCCCAGUGCCUACACUCUGCUUCCUCUCAUCCUCUGCCUCACCAAUAGCCCCAGGACUGCAGCAGUAAUUAUGAAUUGUUCCUAUUUAUUUUGAGUCCAUAGUGUCUUCUUGACAUGUGAGUUAUUUCUUUUGAAGAUAUAGUAGAUGUUAAAAUUCUGCUUCUUAAUUGCUUGUUUGUGAGGUGCUCAGAAUCCUCUGUAAGUAUUGUUACAAAAAGGAAGCAUUGGAUUACAUGGCUCUUACCUUAUUUAACCAACUCCUCAAGUUGGGCUGACUUGAAUUAUCCUCAGACUUCAAAGGUUCGUUACAGUGUCAGGCUCACAUAAAUACGAGCUUUACAACUGUGCGGUACCUUCCUCGUGUAAUCCCAGUUCAUCUCUGUAACCCUGUCCUGGUGACCCUUAUUUCUAUACUCAUUUACUAGUGGAGGAUGCAGAGAAGUUACAUAACUUGACCACAGCAGAAACUAUCAGCCCUCAGAUUGCUGCAAUUUACCUGCUGUCCUGUAUAGCUGUCCUUUCAGAAAUGUAUUCAUGCAAAAAGUAUUUAAGUAUCUUUGCAUAUUAUGGGUGCCUUGCACCAUGCAAGGCAUUGAGUCUACACAUGUGAGCAAGACAGAGAACUGUGGAAAGUAACUCUUGAGUUCCUUUCUUAGAUUAUGUUUACACUGAUUUAUUUGCCUUUGGUGUGUGAUCUGAUGUUUGUCUAUUAUGGCUUAGGGGUCUUUUUUUUUUUUUCCUGUCUAAAUGCUAUUGAGUUUUGAAUGCACACUCUUCUGUGUUUCAAAAUUCAAGUGGUCCAAUAGAAAAUGAUAAAAAACUUCCAUCCCAUCCUCCUGUAUCUACCUUUCCAUUCCAUGAGCAACAGAUGUUGCCUUUUGUCCAUGUAUUCUUUUUUUUUUUUUUUGUCUUUUUCCUUUUUAUCGGUACCAGGGAUCGAACUCAUGACUGCCUGCUUGCAAGGCAGGCGCUUAUGCCACUGAGCUAAAUCCCCAGCCCCUGUCCAUGUAUUCUUAUAAGUAUGGUCUCUGUAUGUGAAUGUAUGUGAAAAGUACAUCUAAAAAUUUUCCCUGUGAUAAGAAAUUAUGUAGGUACUAUUCAUUUUGCUAUUUUUAUUUAAUAUAUUAUUUUUGAUGUAGCAGCUGGACCAAAUUUGAGGUUCCCAGAAGUCAGAAACUAUGUCAUGUCUGUUUCUGAAUUAUCAUUCCCAUAGCCUCUUUGUAUCUUUCAUGUGAUCAUGUGAUUUACUACAUGCUGUAUAUCUACUACAUAUACCUUUGGGCAAACAUCACUGUUAAGCUCUUGCACUAAUACUGACUUUGGAUUUGACUUGUUUUGUGUUUUCUCAAAAGGAGACCCAUGGGUUGCCCAGGGUACAGUGAGUUAAUCCAGUACUAAUGGUAGCCUUAUUACUAAUUCUGCAUGGAGAAACAUGUCUAGAACUUUUGUUUACUGUGUUCUCUUGAAUACAAACUUCACUUUGCUGCUGUACUUGUGUAAUUACAUAUUCCUUCUGGAGAUUCUAACAAUACACCUUGACUUCUGGUUGCACGGGAUCCUCAUCUGUUCCAGAAAAGGUUCAGUAUCUCUGCUGGAACCUUUGAAAUCUACUGGCUCUUAUCACUACCAGGACCUCCCAAGAUACUGUUUUCCAGAGCCCUUUAGGUUCUGACCUCUUUGGAAGUCCCAGAAGUUUUUUUCUCAUGGUCAUUUGCUCGAAUCUUCGUUUUGCCACAUGUCAAGACUGAAGAAACAGAAUUUCCAACAGAACUCUGUUAUCUGCUUGUACGUAUUUAUGCAAUUAUUUGUGACUCUAGCUGAGCAUGAACACAUGUUCACUGAUCCCUAAAUUGUAAUAUUUUCUGUAAGGCACUUUACCCUCUUCAUCACUGUAGAUAAUGUAAGCAGAGAUGACAUAUAAUUCUGUGUUUGUCACUGAUUGUAUUAAUUUUAUAAAAUAUUUUUAUUUAUUUUGUUCCUCAAUACAUCUGCAUGUCCAUUUUCUUAUUUUCUCUGUGUCUUAUAAAACCACUCCCAGAUUAACCUCUCAGUGGAGAGUUGCUUGGAGAAUCUGCAGACCUCUUCCUAGUUAUUUCUUUUUCAUAGCUUUUAUGUUUAUACAGCAUACUUUUCAAUCCUACAUGAUGAGAAUAAAAAGUAUUUAUUUUUUUAAAAAAAUAAUUUAUUGAAAAAUUUCAUUGUCUUACGCAUUGUAGCUUCUUUCAUAAAAAAAAAAAAAACAGUAAAAUUCUGUCAUCUGUACUGAAGAGCUGCCAAAGCAAAAAGAAGGAGUCCUCAAGAGAAUGAGGGAAACAAAGGGCCUUUUCUUUAAGACAGCACCCUUCUGGUGUCUGUAAACAUGGAUGUGCAAGCUUGUACCUGUUAAACUGGAUGUAUGUCAGUCUUCGGUUUCUUAGAGAAAAGUAAGAAACCUAGAACUCUGUCAAAUUGAGAAUUAAGGCCUAAGAACUGGAAGGGAACAUAAGAAAAUCUGUGGUUUUAAAACAAACAUGGUAACACUUGUCAUUCAAGAAAGUGUAGAUCUUUUACUAGCUGGUUUGACUAUAUAGUCAUCAAAUUCAAUUUAAAGAGAUUUAUUUUUUAAAUUUA